GGUUCCAGCCAGAGACCAUUCGCUCCUCACUCAGUCCACGCACUAGGACGGUCACGAAGUUAUCUCUACGAAGUUAUCAAAGGUGUGCUGGCUACCGAUUUAAGUAUGCCUCUCUCAGGCGUUAGACGAUGGACCGAUGUAAUUUUUUUCAUGAUGACUAAUUUAUAUCAUGGUGGCUAGGCCUACUGUAGCCUAUGCCAUGUGGCCUGCCGCUAGGAAGCGGUCCUGUCCUUAAAUGUUUCCCUCUGUAAGCAACGUCGCUUAACCAGCAAGGCGUUUGAUUAGGUCUGCGGUGCAUGGAUACCGGCGUGUCUCGCCUUGGCACGUGGUCUGCAGCAUGGCCUCUUCAGCAGAGGAACGAAGUGUAGGAUGCCCAGGAAUGGGGAUUGUGGAGUAACGUUUCAGACUGAGGGGUGAAGGGCUAAAUUGUCCAAAGACCUUUCCAUGGCCUUAAGAAUGAGGAUGGAUGAUGGUGACGACUAGGAUGAAGAUGCAAAGAUCUUUUUCCAGAUGUGCUUUGUUAAAACAAAAAUAAAGUCACUUUCCAAACAUU